rnacentral:rRNA from 1 species
UCGGGAAUUUUGGGCAAUGGGCGAAAGCCUGACCCAGCAACGCCGCGUGAGGGAUGAAGUAUUUCGGUAUGUAAACCUCGAAAGAAUGGGAAGAAUAAAUGACGGUACCAUUUAUAAGCUCCGGCUAACUACGUGCCUGCAGCCGCGGUAAUACGUAGGGAGCAAGCGUUGUUCGGAUUUACUGGGCGUAAAGGGCGCGUAGGCGGCGCGGUAAGUCACUUGUGAAAUCUCUGAGCUUAACUCAGAACGGCCAAGUGAUACUGCUGUGCUAGAGUGCGGAAGAGGCAACCGGAAUUCUUGGUGUAGCGGUGAAAUGCGUAGAUAUCAAGAGGAACACCUGAGGCGAAGGCGGGUUGCUGGGCCGACACUGACGCUGAUGCGCGAAAGCCAGGGGAGCAAACG